rnacentral:rRNA from 1 species
AAAAUUUAAAUAAAAAAUACUAAAAUAGUAGAUAAUUAUUUAUUGAAACUUAAAUAAUUUGGCGGUAUUUUAGUUCAUUUAGAGGAAUCUGUUUAAUAAUUGAUAUUCCACGAAUAAAUUUACUUAAUUUAUAAUUUUAUAUAUCGUUGUUUUAAAAAUAUUUUUUAAUAAAAUUAAUAUUUUAAAAUUAAUAUUAGAAAUUAAAUCAGAUCAAGAUGUAGAUUAUAAUUAAGAAUAUAAUGGAUUACAAUAAAUUUAUUUAAAUGAAUAUUAAUUUGUAAGAGUUGAUUGAAGGUGGAUUUAAAUGUAAUUUUAUUUAAUUUAGUAAAAUGAUUAAAAAUUAAAAUAUGU